rnacentral:misc_RNA from 1 species
AACUCUCAACCCCCCUGUUUUGUAACGAGAUAGGCGUGGGCUUGGAUUAUGGUUGUCUGUCGGCGUAAAGUCGGCUCAACUGAAAUAUACGAGCAACCCAUUUGAAAUAGACGGUUUGACUCGGCGUAAUAAUUAUUUCGCUGAGGACGUCUUCUUUAAAGUCAGUGGUGCUUCUAAUGCGUAUUAUACAUCAUAAGC